AGUGAACGCUGGCGGUAGGCCUAACACAUGCAAGUCGAACGGCAGCACAGUAAGAGCUUGCUCUUACGGGUGGCGAGUGGCGGACGGGUGAGGAAUACAUCGGAAUCUAUUUUUUCGUGGGGGAUAACGUAGGGAAACUUACGCUAAUACCGCAUACGACCUACGGGUGAAAGCAGGGGAUCUUCGGACCUUGCGCGAUUGAAUGAGCCGAUGUCGGAUUAGCUAGUUGGCGGGGUAAAGGCCCACCAAGGCGACGAUCCGUAGCUGGUCUGAGAGGAUGAUCAGCCACACUGGAACUGAGACACGGUCCAGACUCCUACGGGAGGCAGCAGUGGGGAAUAUUGGACAAUGGGCGCAAGCCUGAUCCAGCCAUACCGCGUGGGUGAAGAAGGCCUUCGGGUUGUAAAGCCCUUUUGUUGGGAAAGAAAAGCAGCAGGUUAAUACCCCGCUGUUCUGACGGUACCCAAAGAAUAAGCACCGGCUAACUUCGUG
rnacentral:rRNA from 1 species